UACGGGGGGGGCAAGCGUUGUUCGGAAUUACUGGGCGUAAAGGGCGCGUAGGCGGUUCGCUAAGUUGGAUGUGAAAACUCUGGGCUCAACCCAGAGCCUGCAUCCAAAACUGGCGGGCUAGAGUUCUGGAGGGGGUAGCGGAAUUCCUGGUUUAGCGGUGAAAUGCGUAGAUAUCAGGAGGAACACCGGUGGCGAAGGCGGCUACCUGGACAGAAACUGACGCUGAGGCGCGAAAGCUAGGGGAGCAAACAGG
rnacentral:rRNA from 1 species